UGGGUGGAGAUCAGCUGGGAGUGAAGGGGGGACGGGCUUGGGUUUUGAAGGUGAAGGUCUCUGGAGAACUGGGGACACGUGGAUCUGGAGUAAGAGGCACCUACUGAAACCGGAAGGUGGCUGAGAAGGUUUUAUGUGAGGUGUGGACGGGAGGCUAUUGGACUAGAAGGCAUUAGUUGGUCUGUUAGGACAAAGUAUACAAGCAGCAAACGCGGUAGAUUUAUGUGUGGUAGGUGAAGGCUGUGAAUCUUUUAUGAGUAGUUGAGCAAGAACAGUUGUCUGAUUCUGCGGUGUCGGAGAGUGGAGGGUCUCAGGUAGUGUCUUGGUCAGGCUGGAGUGCAGUGGCGAGAUCAUAGCUCGUUCCAGCC
ensembl:lncRNA FAR1-IT1 FAR1 intronic transcript 1